rnacentral:lncRNA from 1 species
UUUUUUUAAAAAGUUUUUUUUUUUUUUAGAAAUCAAACACAAAGCUUGAGGAUCUCUAAAAUAAUUCAGAGCUGCGGUGCUGCGCUUCUGCAGGAGAGACAAUUUCUUCUGAUGACAGAAGCCAGAGGAAAAAAAAAAAAAUGGUGUUUUGGAAGAAAUACAAAGCAUAAAUCUUGCUCUCAGUGGGACUAGUGCAAGUCUAUUGUAAUUCCCUGUCAGGACACUGAGGUACUGUAGGUUUGUACCUGUGCCACUGAGAACUGAACAGGGACUGUGAAGUUUUCACUGCAGCAACAGGGCAAAACUUUCUGUGCACUCUGUGCACUUUUCCCAAAGGUUUGUGUCCUUGUUUUAAGCUGCGUUUUCUGGAUCUGCGGUCAACUGGCCCUGAGGGGUGUCUGAGUGCUUUACAAUCCCUGUGACAGCCUCUCGGUGAGUGCCGCUUACCAGGAAUAGUGCUCUGUGCCUCAUACAGCACGUAACAAACAGGAGUAAAAGAGCAAGCACUCCCCUUUCCUUUUGCUUUCUCCAAAUCCAGGAUCUGAUGGACAUGUGCUCCCUGGACCUCAACAUGCAGGCCAGCCACUUUCUGGAAGAAAGAAAGCCCUUUUCUGUUUGAGAUGGAGGCACCAGUUCUGUGGAUGUUUUCACAACCCACACGGAUGGUGCCUGGCUGCUGUAAGCUAUUUCCAUCCCUGCAAAGUGGUGAGUGGCUCACAGAGGGGACACCCAGCCAAGGGUAGGAGCUCCAGGAGCUGAGUAUAACCCUGUGCUUUCAAAGAAGUGAAAUAUUGACAGAAGUAGCUGUACUUCUCUGCUGCGCUAGAAUGAAUAAUAGCCAGGUGAAUUUUGUUUUGCACAUUAGUUAAAUUUAAAAAAAAAAAAAUGUCACUGUAGGAUAUAAUGCAGUACAUAGCAGAGCCAGCAAGAAGAAAAGAAAACAUUUCUGUGAGCAAAUAUAAAUCCUGGGAACUGCAGACCCUGGCAGCUGUAAUGGCAGUAAAUUUUUAAGAUGGU